AAUGCAUGGAUUGCUGUAUAAAAUGUCAACAGCAAAAGGAAAAUCAGAGUAUUCAAAAGAAGGUGUCAAAGUGGAGGUAUAUGCUUCAUUUGGUGGGCUUCAGAUGAUGCUGAAAGGCGAUCCAACCAGUUGUACUAAGUUUAAGAUUGAUCAGAACAUGUUUUUGCUUAUUAGGAAAUUGAUAUGAAACUUUGUCAUAUAAUUGAACACUGUGGCUUGUUAAACUCACAAUUUUUCUGUAUACGCCUUUAGAUACACUAAUUCUACUUUUGUGUUUCAUUAACGGUGAUAUGUUGCAGAUUUUCAAUGUUCUGAUA